rnacentral:lncRNA from 1 species
CCAAACAGACACUUCCCCUUCGUCUCUCCCAGCGAACCCAAGCACACCCAAAAUCCUAGCGCCGCCGUGACACCCCAUCACCGACGGCAACCAUCCCUUUCACCACCAAAUCAAUACCCCUGAACCCCCUAACUCCCUUCUCCAUGAAUCCAUGCCCCAUUAACUUCGAAUCACAUUGUAGCUCCUCGAAUCUUCAAUCGAAGAUUCGAGUAAAAUAUGAAACCAUCCCAACCGGCCCCAAACUCACCCCAAUCACUCCCCUAGCCUCCCUCAUCACCAAAUCAUGGCUAUUUUGGUUCGAAUCUGACCCAAACUCCUCGAACCCCAAAUUCGAGCCUCAAGAAUCCUAGAAAAAUCGAGACUGGUUUUUGCCCGAUUUGAAGAACUUUGGGUGUUCAAUGGACUUUAGUUGAUGUGUUCUCAGUUGAGAACACUCAACUAAAGUACGUUUGGCCUCAAAAGUAUGAAACCCAUUUGGACCGAGGUCAUUUUCUUCUGGUUCUUUUUGAGGUAUCUUUUUUCCUUUUUUCUUCAAAUCUUCUGAUUGUUCCUAUGUUGUUUUUUUGUUUAGAUUCAUUGUAGUAACUAUUUUCCAAAUUUUUUCUUUUUAGCCGAAUGUUCUGUUCUUACCCCAUAAGACCUUUUCUUUGGUCAAUUGUAUUCUGUUUGUUGAUUGUGGUUGUCAUAGGAUACCAUUUUUGAUUCGAUUAAUAUCGUCGAAAAUUCAGUUUUGUAUUCUUCUUGUUUGUCCGAAUGCCAUGAGUCCACUGUUGGGUUUUGAUUAUUUGCUAUCGAUUAUAUGUUUGUAGUCGAUUAGGUAAAUGUUGUCGAUUAGUCGUAUAUGUUUGUUUUGUAGAACAAUAUUAACAAUAAUGUCAUUAAUGUUGUUGUCAAUCAUUUAACAUGAAUCACUGUUUUGGCCAGAAUUAUUGUUUGAAUUUAGGUUUAAAUUAGUUAUAGCUGAAGUUAGGAAGCUGAAUUGGCUAUAUCUGAAUUGAAUUUAGGUACAAUUUUAAUAGGGAUUUUCGGAGUUUAGUCUAAGCGGGCUGUCAGUUGAGCAUGUGUGAGUCAUUGGAGGUAAUCAUAGUGCAUAUACACCCUGUCUAACAUCUUUAGGAGUAAAGUCAGAUGUAGAUUGAUUUUAAUAUUGAAAAGCUGAAAAUGCACAUUAGAAUGGUAGUGGAACCUGCUGUACAGUAGGAUAUUCACUACACUUUUGUAUUCCAGAAAUUUUAAAAUAAGAAGCUCCUUACUUAGACAAUUUUAAGUUGAAAAACAGAAGAAUAAUAUGGAAUCUGUCAGUUUUUAAAUGAAGUUAACAGGUUGUACAGUUUGGCUAUAUAAGAGAAGGUUUCAGAUUAGUUGAGGGGAGGGGUUUUGAGAUCAGUUUUAGAAGUCUUUUGAUAAAUCAGAAAAAAGAUAUUCAAAACAGCAGAAGAAACCACUGUUUCCAUUCUUUCUUUCAGUCAGUUUUUUUUUGAAAAAUCAGAAAAAGGUUUUGAGAGCAAAAAAAACUGUUCCAUUGGUUUCUCUUCUUUGAGUUUGAAGUUUUUCAGUGAUUAUCUUUUGAUCCUUUUUCAAUUCUAAAAAAGAGACAAUAACUUGUGACUUACUUGGAGCUUUAUAGUGACUUGAUAUUGGUUUUCCUCUGGAAAUUUUAGGUGUAGAAGUGUUGAAACUAUUGUGUCAUUGGGUUUUGAGGAACAACUUCCUGGAAAUCCACUGUUCCAUUGAUUUCAGGAUUGAAGUGGUUGGUUUUGGUUUUGAAUCUGGGCUGUCCUAAGUUGCUGUUUACUGCUUCUAAUUGCUGCUGUUGGAUACUGCUUCCUCACUUCUUUUCAUAGUCAUAUUCCAGGUACACUAUUUGUCUCUAAUGAUGUGAAGCUUCACUCAUUGUACAUGAACAAUUGUGAAAUAAACUCGAUGCAGCAGUCCUACAAUACGAAUCUAUUUUUAUGUUCUCAUUAUUAGUUUAAUACGUAGCUGUAGUUUCAUUUGAAUAGAUAAUUAUUAACUUUAAACAGUUUGUAUUAACUAAGACUGCUCAAACUCAUCUUUGUAGUUGUCUUGAACUGUAUGAACUGUCAUAUCUUAGGUCUGUUAGAGCCUUUGAAUUGAAAAGCGAUUUCAUGUUAGGUUGAUAGAAUAGAUUAUGUUAAUUUAAUUUCUGUUAAGCUACUCCAUAUGUCUGUUAGUUAGCUGUAGUAUGACUGUCUUAGGAGUUGUCUAGGACUGUGUUGAAUUUCAAUAAAAGCAGAUGUCUUGCUCAAUGAUAGAAGAUUGUAGAUCUGUUAAGUUUUCAAGUUUAAUUUGCUUCCGGAAGUUAGUGUAGAAUGAGCACUAACUUUAAAAAUCAUAAUCUUCAAUUAGAAAUUCAAAGGUCAUGAUUUGUUAGUAACCAUAAUAUGGCUAGUUUGGGUGUCACCAAUGAAGUGAGGUAUAUGGUAUAACAAUCAUUUUAAGUUGCUACAACUUGCUCAUUACUCAAAUCGAAAAGGAAGAACAUCUAAUUACAUGUGCAUUCACGUAGCAUUUUUCAAUUAUAGCAAGCCGGCUAAUUAAUUGGUUAGGAUCCUAAGAAAUACUCGGCCAACUUGAGAUAGUCUAACCAUCUUUAGAACAAGCAUCAGUACUUGAAGUUAAUUUUAGUUGCCAAUAGCUUUAAAUAAUUAAUUUCAAUGGUUUAUUUAUCUAAUAACAUGGGUUUAAGUUAGUUAAAAGAUAAUUAGUUUCUCAUGAAAUAUUACUUGUCAAUUACGUAUUUUAUUUUUAGUUUCAAUUUUAGUAAUAUUCUUUUUUUUUUGUUAACAAUGGUCUUAAGCUAGUAAUUAAUAAAUGACGGCAUUCUCUAAGCAUGUAAUAUAUUAGGAUUCUUCUCUUUAUUUUUUAGAGACGAACUUAAUUACAAAAAUGUAGUCACUCUAGGAUUAUCCUUUAAAUAAAAUGAGGCGUGCCUCGCCCAAAAUAAAUUACAAAUUGCGGGGCCCUCAAUGGAUGUUAAUAAUUGCUUAGAUUUCGAGAUAGGAUGCAUAGAGAAUUUCACGGCUUUUCUCUAAAUAAUGAUGCGUUAGUAUCUUUAGGACGCGCCUUAAUAAAUAUUAUCUCCCUAAACUUGGGUAUACAUUUAUGUGACCCAAAUCUAAAUCCCAACGAAGUCGAAAUGUGUUUUAAAAAACAUGGAUGUAUUGAUUGCGACAUGGUUCGAGGAACGUUUUCACGACGUUGCAAUUUUAUUAAAAAUAAUAAUAAAAGUGGUUUGAACUUAGUAAAAGCACAUAAGUUAUAGCAUGUUUUGAAAUCAGAUAUUUAGCCAUUACAAUAACUUUAGCGACCGUGCUAGAACCACGGGACUUGGGGGUGCUUAACACCUUUCCUCGGGUCAACAGAAUUACUUACUUAGAAUUUCUAGUUCGCUGAAUUCACUUGGAAAGUUGAAUAUCUUUCUCGAAUUGGGAUUCAUGAUAAACCGGUGACUUGGGACACUAAAACCAAACCUUUCCAAGUGGAGACUCUGAAACUAAUUAAAUAAUCUCAUUUCGAAUAUUGUCACUUAAAUUGGAAAAACUCCCUUGUGCAUUUUAUCCCUCGGGGUAGUGCGCGCAAAAAGGAGGUGUGACAGUGUCAGAGGGUGUUUCGUACGACAGGGAUUUUGGAGUCCAAUGGGGUAGCUUUUAAUACCUUCCAGUUCUCGGGGCCAACAUUCACAUGGUGGGAGGAUUUUGAGAGACGUAGGCCCGCAGGAGAAUCACCCCUUACCUGGCAGCAGUUUUCCACUCUCUUUUUAGAGAAGAAUGUGCUGCAGUCCCGCAGAGAGGAGAUGCGCCGCCAGUUUAAGUGUCUAGUUCAGGGAGAUAUGAUAUUGACUCAGUUUGAGUUAAGGUAUACUCAGUUGGCCAAACAUGCUACAUGGAUGUUCGCGACAGAGCGGGAGAGGAUCAGGAGGUUCAUAGAUGGCCUCAAAUAUUCUAUUUGUAUCUUGAUGACCAGGGAGAGAGUGGUAGCAGCGACCUUCGAGGAGGUAGUGGACAAGGCUCGCCAGAUUGAGGCAGAUCGUCACCGAGAGCGAGAGGAGAGGGAGGAGGUUCGGGCAGUUAUAGUGGUGCUCCAUCUAGGGACCAGUUUUAUCAGGGCAGAGGUCGUUCUUUUAGGCCUCCUCGGUCAGGCCGCCCAAAGCAAAGUGGAGCUUCUUCCGGCUGUGGCCAUCAGGGUUACCAGCAGGGCCAGUCUUCACUCAGCGCCCUCCCAGCUCAUGAUUCUGCACCUGUUUCAUCAGCCCAGGGUUCAUUUGCGGCUAGGGGUUCCCUUCAUUCCUCUUCCCCAGCCCCAGGUAUUUGUUAUGAGUAUGUCGAGUUUGGCCAAAUGAGGAGGCAGUGUCCUCGACUUCGCAGUGGUAGGUCUCAGUAGAGGGAUCAGCUCUCCUCUUCUACCCCAUCUACUUCAGCACCAUCCCAGUUUAGUAGGGGUGGGUGUUAGUCAUCUAGAGGUCGAGCGGUGGUCAGGCUCGUUGCUAUGCACUUCCAGAUAGGAGAGAUGUUGUUGCUUCAGACGCAGUGAUCACAGAUACUAUCUCAGUUUGCCACAGGGAUGCCUUAGUUUUAUUUGAUCGCGGAUCCAUAUAUUCUUAUGUAUAUUCUAACUUUGCUCAUCAUUUGGGGACUACCCGAGGGUGUCUAGCGUUACAUGUGCAUGUAUCUGCCCGGUGGGUGAUACUAUUAUUGUGGACCACGUGUAUCGGUCCUGUCUUGUUACUACUGGGGGUUUGGAGACCCGAACUGACUUGUUAUUAUUGAGCAUGGUGGAUUUUGAUGUUAUUCUGGGCAUGGAUUGGCUAUCUCUGUGCCAUGCUAUUCUGGAUUGUCACGCUAAGACAGUCACACUGGCUAUGCCGGGUAUCCCGAGGAUUGUGUGGUUUGGUACGACAGAUUAUGUACCCAGCAGGGUAAUCUCUUUCUUAAAGGCCUAGCGGAUGGUUGGGAGGGGAUGUUUAUCAUAUCUAGCAUUUGUGAGGGAUGUUGGGGCUGAGGCUCCUAGCCUUGAUUUAGUCCCCGUGGUAAGGGAGUUCCCUAAUGUAUUUCCAGCAGACCUGUCGGGCAUGCCGCCGCACAAGGAUAUUAACUUUGAUAUUGAUUUUGUGCUGGGCACUCAGCCCAUCUCUAUUCCUUCCUAUCGUAUGGCACCAGCAAAGUUCAAGGAGUUGAAGGAGCAGCUGCAGAAACUCCUAGAUAAGGGGUUCAUUCGCUUGAGUGUGUCGCCGUGGGGCGCACAUGUGUUAUUUGUAAAGAAUAAGGAUGGCACAAUGAGAAUGUGCAGUGAUUACAGACAAUUGAACAAAGUGACAGUAAAGAACAAGUAUCUACUACCCCGUAUUGAGAAUUUGUUUGACCAGAUUUAGGGAGCAAAGGUAUUCUCUAAGAUUGAUCUCCGUUCAAGCUAUCACCAAUUGAAUAUUAGAGAUUUUGAUAUCAUGAAGACAACUUUCAGGACAAGAUAUUGGUAUUAUGAGUUUCUGGUCAUGUCAUUUGGGCUGAGUAAUGCCCCAGCCGCUUUCAUGCACCUGAUGAAUAAUGUAUUUAGGACGUAUCUGGAUUCUUUUGUGAUCGUGUUUAUUGAUGAUAUUUUGGUGUACUUGCGUAGCCAGGAGGAGCACAUGCAACACUUGACGAUGGUGUUGCAGAGGUUGAGAGAAGAGAAGUUGUAUGCUCAGUUCCGUGGCUUUUCUAGGACACGUGGUGUCCAGUGAUGGUAUUCAGGUUGACCCAAAUAAGAUUGAGGCGGUGCAGAGUUGGCCCAGGUCGUCCUCAACUACUGAGAUUCGGAGUUUCCUUUGUUUGGCGGGUUACUACCGCAGAUUCGUUCAGGGUUUUUCAUCUGUUGCUUUGACUUUGACAAAAUUGAUGCAGAAGAAUGCACCAUUUGUGUGGUCAGAGAGCUUUCAAAAGCUCAAGUCAGUGUUGACUACAGCUCCGGUCUAGUGUUGCCAUCAGCUUCAGGCUCUUACUCGGUAUAUUGUGAUGCUUUGAGAGUCGAGAUCGGAUGUGUAUUGAUGCAGGAGGGUAGAGUUAUUGCGUAUGCUUUGCGCCAGCUUAAGCCUCGCUAGAAAAACUACCAUGUUAAUGACUUGGAGUUGGCUUCUAUAGUUCAUGCUUUGAAGAUUUGGUGGCACCAUCUAUAUGGCGUGUCCUGUGAGAUGUUCACGGAUCAUCGCAGUCUUCAGCAUUUGUUUAAGCAGAAGGACCUCAAUUUGAGACAGCAAAGGUGGCUUGAGUUACUCAAGGAUUAUGAUAUUACCAUAUUGUAUCAUCCGGGAAAGGCCAAUNNNNNNNNNNNNNNNNNNNNNNNNNNNNNNNNNNNNNNNNNNNNNNNNNNNNNNNNNNNNNNNNNNNNNNNNNNNNNNNNNNNNNNNNNNNNNNNNNNNNNNNNNNNNNNNNNNNNNNNNNNNNNNNNNNNNNNNNNNNNNNNNNNNNNNNNNNNNNNNNNNNNNNNNNNNNUUGAGUAUGGAUAUCUUGGCGUACAUUCCAGUUGGGGAGAGGCCCCUUGCAGUUGAUGUUCAGGCUUUGGCUAAUCGGAUGGUGAGGUUGGAUAUUUUUUAGCCCAGUCGGGGGUUGGCUUGUGUGGUUUCCAGGUCUUCUUUGUAUGAUCGGAUCAAGGAGCGUCAGUAUGAUGAACCGCAUUUGCUUGUCCUGAAGGACAGGGUCCAGCAUGAUGAUGCCAGAGAUCUGACUAUUGGUAGUGAUAGUGUUUUGCGGAUGAAGGGACGUAUUUUCGUGACCAAUGUGGAUGGGCUCCGAGAGUUGAUAUUAGAGGAGGCCCACAGCUCGCGGUAUUCUAUUCNNNNNNNNNNNNNNNNNNNNNNNNNNNNNNNNNNNNNNNNNNNNNNNNNNNNNNNNNNNNNNNNNNNNNNNNNNNNNNNNNNNNNNNNNNNNNNNNNNNNNNNNNNNNNNNNNNNNNNNNNNNNNNNNNNNNNNNNNNNNNNNNNNUAGGUGUCCCAAUUGUCAGCAGGUAAAGUAUGAACAUCAGAGACCCGGUGGUGUACCUCACCAGAUGGAUAUUCCCGUAUGGAAACGGGAAGGGAUUACUAUGGACUUUGUGAGUGGUCUCCCUUGUACCUCGAGGAACUUUGAUUCUAUUUGGGUGAUUAUGGAUAGGCUGACCAAGUCUGCGCAUUUCAUUCCGAUGUGUACCACCUAUUCUCCGGAGCGGUUGGCAGAGAUUUUCAUCCGUGAGAUUGUGCGGUUGCAUGAGGUUCCAGUUCCUAUUGUCUCAGACAGGGGUACUCAGUUUUCAUCCCAGUUCUGGGUGACCUUUCAUCGGGAGUUGGGCACUCAGAUUCAGAUGAGCACAACUUUUCAGCCUUAGACGGACGGAAGUUCAAUCGUACUAUUCAGAUAUUGGAGGACAUGUUGCUUAUAACAAUAGUUAUCAGUAAUGCAUUCAGAUGGCGCCGUAUGAGGCUUUAUAUGGGAGGCGGUGUAGAUCUACAGUUGGCUGGUUUGAGGCCGGCGAGGCUAGACUAUUGGGGGCAGAGUUAGUUCAGGAUGUCUUAGAGAAAUUAUUCAGGAGAGACUUCGUACGGCUCAGUCGCGUCAGAAGAUUUAUGCGGACCGGAAGGUUUGGGCUGUAUCUUAUAUGGUGGGCGAGAAGGUUUUGUUGAAGGUUUCACCUAUGAAAGGCGUGAUGAGGUUUGGAAAGAAAGGGAAGCUGAGUCCGCAGUUUAUGUGACCUUUUGAGAUACUCAGAAGGAUUUAGGAUGUAUCCUACAUGCUUGCUUUGCCACCUAGUUUAUCGGGGGUUCACCUGGUGUUUCAGGUUUCUAUGCUCAGAAAGUAUGUUGGAAGGAUUGGGGAGGUAGCCUUAUGCUUGCUUUGCCACCCAUUUUGUCGGGGAUUCACCCGGUAUUCCACGUUUCUAUGUUCAGGAAGUAUGUUGGAGACCCGUCUCAUCUAUUAGACUUCAGUACGAUCCAGUUGGAUGAGGACUUGACCAUGAUGUGGAGCCAACGGCUAUUCUGGGUCAUUAGGUUAGAAAGUUGAGAUCAAAGGACAUAGCUUUGGUGAAGGUGCAGUGGAGAGGUCGGCCAAUGGAGGAGCCAACUUGGGAGACCGAGCAGGAGAUGCAGAGCAGAUAUCCUCGUUUGUUUGAGGCUCUAGGUAUGUUUCUUUACCCCGCUCGAGGACGAUGGUUUGUUUUAGUUGGGGAUAAUGUAACGACCCGGCCCAUCAUCACGUGAGUUACCACCCCGUUUUCCCCGUCUUAUGCUCAUUUUUAUGUGUUUCGAGAGUUUGAAGUGAUUCGGUCAGAGUUUGGUUGAAAUUGAGACAAUUAGUCUCUUUAAGAGAANNNNNNNNNNNNNNNNNNNNNNUGAUUCGGUUAGAGUUUGGUUGGAAUUGAGACAAUUAGUCUCUUUAAGAGAAGGCUAGUUUGAAAAAGUAAACCGGAUGUUGACUUAUGAGUUAUAGGGCUCGGAAUGGAUUUCCGGUGAUUUGACUAGUUUCGGGUGGUGAUUUAUGACUUGGGAGUAAAAGUGGAACUGAAUUUGGAGGUCCGAUGUAGUAUUAGGCUUGAAUUGGUUAAGUUUGAAUUUUGGUGAAUUCUGGUUGAUUGGUGAGAUUUUGAUCGGGGGGUCGAAAUGGAAUUUUGAGAGUUGUUGUAGCUUUGUCAGGUGAAUUUGGAUAUGUCUAUAAAUUUUCAAGUCAAUCAAAUGUUGUUUGGUCGGGUGUUUGAUAGAAUGUUAGUUUCGGAGGUUAUAGUUGAAACUUAGGCUUGAAUCCGUCAUGAUUUGAUGAUUUUUGUAUUUACGGUCGUGUUUUUAUAAUUGGAAUGCGUUCGUAUGAUGUUUUGUAGCAGGUUGGUUUUCUUGGGUUGGGUUCGAGGGGCCUCGUGGUGAUUUCGGAGGUUCAAACGGAUCAUUUUUGGUUGGCUAGGAGAUCAGAUUUUGCUGUCAUAGAUGUUGCAGACUUUUGUUCAAUGCGAUCGCAGGAGUGCUGAUGCAAUCGCAUAGAAGGUUUGGGGAUGCUUUGAAAUUUGUUCGAUGCGAUUUCGGUCAGGGGUAUGCGAUCGCAUAGGUUAGGAAAGUUGUUCUCUGCGAUCGCAGGAGGUCUUAUGCGAUCGCGUAGAGUAAUAGACUUGGGUUUCCUGAUGGGGCUUUUGUGUAGUGCGAUCGCGAGGCAAGGUAUGUGAUCGCGUAUUGUUGGACUCCGAAGCAAUGCGAUCGCGUAGUAGGUGUUGCGAUCGCAUAGGCCAUUCUGGAGGCGUGGAUUAGUUGUGCAGUGCGAUCGCAGGUGAGGUGAUACGAUUGCAUAGAAGGAAUAUGUGGGCAGACAGAAGGGUUUUAUAACAUAUCAUCCGUGAGCAAAUAUCAUUUUCCACCAUUGUUGAGCACAUUUUGGAGCUAUUGGACGAGAGAGUAUGCGGAUUUCACCUAGGUUUCGACUUGAGGUAAGUUUUAUGAGCUAAUUACGUGAUUUUAUUGAAGAAUCAUCAUCUAAAUCUCUGAAAUUUGGGUGGAAAUUGGAGAAAUUAGUGCUUGGUUUUUGGUAUUGAAAUUUUGGAAUCUGAAUGGGCUAUUGGACUCCGAUAUUGAUAUACUUCAAAUGUAUGGACUCGUGGCGAGACGAGGAUUUCAAAACUGUGAAUUUUAUAAUUUUUCGAGAAGUGGUCCCGUGGCUCGGGUUUUGCCAACUUCGUGUUUUUGGGUGUAUUUCGAGUUAAUUCGAUUGUGUUAUGUUCCAUUAGCCUAUUUUGAUGUAUUCCUAUUGGUUUUGAUCAGAUUUGGCACCCGUGGAGGUUGAUUCUAGAGGGUAAGGCAUAGCAGACUAGUCUCGGAGUCGGUUCGAGGUGAGUAAUAUAUGUGGAUGAUGAAUUGAGGGUUUGAAACCCCGGUAUAUCACACUGUGAGGGAAAGGCAUAGCGGACUAGUCUCGGAGCCGGUUCGAGGUGGGUAAUAGAUGUGGAUGAUGACCUGAGGGUUUGAAACCCCGGUGUAUCGCAUUGUGACGCUAUAUUGAAGCGAGACACGUACUCUACAGUGAGUGCGGGGUCGAUUGUGAUUGGGGACUAUGGCUUAGUCCGACAGAUUGGCAUUAUACUGUGUUGUUGGCUAUUAAUGAUCCGGUAAACCGCCUACUUCGAUGGUUAUGGAUAUAUUUGGGCUACGUGCCGGUUAAUUAGAUCCCUGAGGAUCUUUAUCACUGUUUCUAUGAAGUAUAGCUUGUUUUCAUGAUAUCAGUCCUGAGCUAGAACACUGUUUAAAUAUGAUGGGAAAUUCUGAGGAUUUGAACACCUAAUUUUAUAAUUACUGAUACACGGAACUAAAAUCGGCAAAUUAUUUAUGCAUGUGAGGCUUGCAUGCAUGUAGCUGGACUGAUAGUGGAUCGGGCAGACUAAUUCCCCAACCGCUUUAAUGCUCCUGAUGAAUAGUGUAUUUAGGUCGUAUCUAGAUUCUUUUGUGAUCAUGUUUAUUGAUGAUAUUUUGGCGUACUCGCGUAGCCAGGAGGAGCACACGCAGCACUUGGGGGUGGUAUUGCAGAGGUUGAGAGAAGAGAAGUUGUAUGCAAAGUUCUACAAGUGAGAGUUUUGGCUAAGUUCUAUGGCUUUUCUGCGACACGUGGUGUCUAGUGAUGGUAUUUUGGUUGAUCCAAAGAAGAUCGAGGCGGUUCAGAGUUUUCCCAGGUCGUCCUCAGCUACUGAGAUUCGGAGUUUCCUCGGUUUGGGUGGUUACUACCGCAGAUUUGUUCAGGAUUUUUCAUAUAUUGCUUUGAAUUUGACGAAGUUGACGCAGAAGAAUGCACCAUUUGUGUGGUCUGAGGAGUGCGAAUAGAGCUUUCAAAAGCUCAAGUCAGUGUUGACUACAGCUCCGGUUCUAGUAUUGCCAUCAGCUUCAGGCUCUUACUCGUUAUAUUGUGAUGCUUCGAGAGUUGGUAUUGGAUGUGUAUUGAUGCAGGAGGGUAGAGUUAUUGUGUAUGCUUCACGUCAGCUUAAGCCUCAUAAGAAAAACUACAAUGUUCAUGACUUGUAGUUGGCUGCUAUAGUUCAUGCUUUGAAUAUUUAGAGGCACUAUCUAUAUGGCGUGUCCUGUGAGGUGUUCACGGAUCAUCGCAGUCUUCAGCAUUUGUUUAAGCAGAAGGACCUCAAUUUGAGACAGUGGAGGUGGCUUAGGUUACUCAAGGAUUAUGAUAUUACCAUAUUGUAUCAUCCGGAGGAAGGCCAAUGUAGUGGCCGAUGCUUUGAGCCGGAAGGCGGUGAGUAUGGAUAGCUUGGCGUACAUUCCAGUUGGGGAGAGGCCCCUUGCAGUUGAUGUUCAAGCUUUGGCAAAUCGGAUGGUGAGGUUGGAUAUUUCUGAGCCCAUUCGGGUGUUGGCUUGUGUGGUUUCCCAGUCUUCUUUGUAUGAUCGCAUCAAGGAGCGCCAGUGUGAUGACCCGCAUUUACUUGUCUUGAAGGACAGGGUCCAGCAUGAUGAUGCCAGAGAUGUGUCUAUUGGUAGUGAUAGUACGUUGCAGAUGCAGGGACGGAUUUGAGUGCCCAUUGUGGAUGGGCUCCGAGAUUUGAUAUUAGAGGAGGCCCACAGCUCGCGGUAUUCUAUUCAUCCGGGUGACGUGAAGAUGUACCAGGACUUGAGGCAGCAUUAUUGGUGGAGGAGAAAAAAAAGGACAUUGUGAGUUAUGUGGCUAGGUGUCUCAAUUGUCAACAGGUCAAGUAUGAACAUAAGAGACCAUGUGGUGUACCUCAGCAGAUGGAUAUUCCCGAGUAGAAGUGGGAAGGGAUUACUAUGGACUUUGUGAGUGGUCUCUCUCGUACCUCGAGGAACUUUGAUUCUAUUUGGAUGAUUGUGGAUAGGAUGACCAAGUCUGCGCAUUUCAUUUCGAUGUGUACCACCUAUUCUUCGGAGCGGUUAGCAGAGAUUUUCAUCUGUGAGAUUGUGCGGUUGUAUGGGGUUCCAGUUUCUAUUGUCUCAGACAGGAGUACUAGUUUUCAUCCCAGUUCUGGAGGACCUUUCAUCGGGAGUUGGGCACACAGAUUCAGAUGAGCACAACGUUUCAGCCUCAGACGGACGGACAGUCCGAGCGUACUAUUCAGAUAUUGGAGGACAUGUUGCGUGCUUGUGUCAUUUAUUUUUGAGGUUCUUGGGCUGAGUUCUUGCCGCUUGCGGAGUUUUCUUAUAAUAAUAGUUAUCAGUCCAGUAUUCAGAUGGCACCGUAUGAGGCUUUAUAUGGGAGAUCAUUGAUUUUAGAGGUUUUUGGGCCGAGUUCUUGCCACUUGCGGAGUUUGCUUAUAACAACAGUUAUCAGUACUACAUUCAGAUGGCGACGUAUGAGGUUUUAUAUGGGAGGCGGUGUAGAUAUUUAGUUGGCUGGUUUGAGCCCGGCGAGGCUAGACUAUUGGGGGAAGAGUUAGUUCAGGAUUCCUCAGAGAAAGUGAAAGUUAUUUAGGAGAGACUUCGUACGACUCAGUUGCGUCAGAAGAGUUAUACGGACCGGAAGGUUCGGGGUGUAUCUUAUAUGGUGGGCGAGAAGGUUUUGUUGAAUGUUUCACCUAUGAAACGCAUGAUGAGGUUUGGAAAGAAAGGAAGCUGAGUCUGCGGUUCAUUGGACCUUUUAAUGUACUCAGAAGGAUUGGGAGGUAGCCUAAAUGCUUGCUUUGCCACCCAGUUUGUCGGGGAUUCACCCGGUAUUCCACGUUUCAAUGCUCAGGAAGUAUGUUGGGGACCCGUCUCAUGUAUUAGACUUCAGCACGAUCUAGUUGGAUNNNNNNNNNNNNNNNNNNNNNNNNNNNNNNNNNNNNUUUCCAUGUUUCUAUACUCCGGAAGUAUGUUGGGAGCCGUCUAAUGUAUUAUACUUCAGCAUGAUUUAAUUGGAUGAAGACUUGACCCACUAUAUAGGGCCAGUGGCUAUUCUGGGUCGUCAGGUUCGAAAGUUGAGAUCAAAGGACAUAGCUUCGAUAAAGGUGCAGUGGAGAGGUCGGCCCGUGAAGGAGCCAACUUGGGAGACCGAGCAGGAGAUGCGUAGCAGAUAUCCUCGUUUGUUUGAGGCUCCGGGUAUGUUUCUUGACCCUGCUCGAGGUUGAGGGUUUGUUUUAGUUGGGGAGGAUGUAAUGACCCAGCCCGUCAUCACGUGAGUUACCACCCCGUUUUCCCCGUCUUAUGCUUCUAUAUGUUAAUUUUAUGUGUUUGUAGAGUUUGAAGUGAUACGGUCAAAGUUUGGUUGAAAUUGAGACAAUUAGUCUCUUUAAGAGAAGGCUAGUUUGGAAAAGUCAACCAUAUGUUGACUUAUGAGUUAUAUGGCUCAUAAUGGAUUUCCGGUGAUUUGACUAGUUUCGGGUGGUGAUUUAUGACUUAGGAUUCAAAAAGGAACUCAAUUUAGGGGUCCUGAUGUAGUAUUAGGCUUGAAUUGGCUAAGUUUGAAUUUUGGCGAAUUCUAGUUGACAGGUGAGAUUUUUAUAUGGGGGUCGGAAUGGAAUUCUAAGAGUUGUUGUAGCUUCGUCAGGUGCAUUUGGAUGUCUUUAAAUUUUCAAGUCAAUCGGACGCUGUUUGGUUGGGUUUUUGAUCGAAAAUAAUUUCGGAGGUUAUAGUUGAAACUUAGGCUCGAAUCCGUCAUGAUUUGACGAUUUUUGUAUUUAGGGUCGUAUUUUUAUGAUUGGAACGAGUUCGUAUGAUGUUUUGGAGCAGGUUGGUAUUCUUGGUUGGGGUCCCGGGGGCUUCAGAGUGAUUUCGGAGGUUCAAACGGAUCAUUUUUGGUUGGCUGGGAGAUCAGAUUUUGCUGUCAUAAAUGUUGCAGACUUUUGGGGGGGCCUCGGGGUGAUUUCGGAGGUUCUAACGGAUAAUUUUUUGUUGGCUAGGAGAUCAGAUUUUGCUGUCAUAAAUGUUGCAGACUUUUCUUCAAUGCGAUCGCAGGAGUGCUGUUGCGAUCGCAUAGAAGGUUUGGGGAGGCUUUGAAAUUUUUUCAAUGCGAUCGCGGUCAGGGGUAUGCGAUUACAUAGGUUGAGGAAGUUAUUCUAUGCGAUCGCAGGAGGUCUUAUGUGAUAGCGUAGAGUAAUGGACUUGGGUUUCGUGAGGGGGCUUUUGUGGAGUGCGGUUGUGAGGCAACGUAUGCGAUCGCGUAGUGUUGGACUCCGAAGCAAUGUGAUCGCGUAGUAGGUGUUGUGAUCGCAUAGGACAUUUUGGAGGCCUGGAUUAGUUGUGCAGUGCGAUCGCAGGUGAGGUGAUGUGAUCGCAAAGAAGAAAUAUUUGGGCGGACAAAAGGGUUUUAUAACAUAUCAUCCGCGAGCAAAUAUCAUUUUCCACCAUUGUUGAGCACAUUUUGGAGCUAUUGGACGAGAGAGUAAGAGGAUUUCACCUAGGUUUCGACUUGAGGUUAGUUUUAUGAGCUAAUUACGUGAUUUUAUUGAAAUCAUCAUCUAAAUCUCUGAAAUUUGGGUGGAAAUUGGAGAAUUAGGGUUUGGUUUUUGGAAUUGAAAUUUUGGAAUUUAAAUGGGCUAUUGGGCUCCGAUUUUGAUAAACUUCAUAUGUAUGGACUCGUGGUGAGGCGAGGAUUCCAAAAAUGUGAAUUUCGUAAUUUUUUGAGAAGUAGGCCCGGGGCUCGGGUUUUGCCAAGUUUGUAUUUUUUGGUGUAUUUCGAGUUAUUUCAAUUAGGUUAUGUUCCAUUAGCCUUUUUUGAUAUAUUCCGAUUGGUUUUGAUCAGAUUUGGCACCCGCAGAUGUUAAUUCUAAAGGGAAAGGCAUAGCGGACUACUCUUGGAGCCGGUUCGAGGUGAGUAAUAGAUGUGGAUGAUGAUCGAGGGUUUGAAACUCCGGUAUAUCAAAUUGUGAGUCUAUAUUGAGGCGAGACACGUAAUCUACGGUGAGUGCAUGGUCGAUUGUGAUUGGGACUAUGGCUUUCUCCGACCGAUUGGCAUUGUAUUGUGUUGAUGGCUAUUAAUGAGCCGGUAAACCUCCUACUUGGAUGGUUAUGGAUAUAUUUGGGCUGCAUGGCGAUUAUUUAGAUCACGUAACGAUCUUUAUCACUGUUUCUAUGAGUUAUAGUAUGUUUUCAUGAUAUCAGUACUGAGCUAGAACACUGUUUAUAUAUGAUGGAAAUUAUGAGGAUUUGAACACCUAAUUUUAUAAUUACUGAUAAACGGAACUAAAAAUGGUAAAUUAUUUAUGCAUGUGAGGCUUGCAUGCAUGUAACAGGACUGAUAGUGGAUGAGGCUGAACGCCGCAGCGUAUGUUACUAUGAUAUUGCGCUUGGGUUGUAGGAGCCCCUCCGGAGUCUGAACCCCCACAGUGAGCGCGGGUACCCAAAUGGAUCAGGCUACACCUAUUACUGCUUAUUGGGAUUUACACUGUUAAAAAGAGUAGAAAACACUAUUAUAGCUUUACUGUGUAGUAUAUUGGGAUUUCUUACCUUCAAUAUCAUAAUACAUGUCUAUCACACUGAGUUGGAAGUACUCACUUUACUCCCUGCACCGUGUGUGUAGAUCCAGGUACCUCAGGGCAAAGUUGAUCCUUUAGCUGUUCUUCAGAGUAUUUUUUCGGAGCUUGUCGAGGUAGCUACCUGGCGUCCGCAUGACCCGACUCCUCAAUUAUUUAUGUAUUUUGAUAUUUUUUUUACUCAGAUUAUGAGAUAUUUUUUUAUUAUUAUUAUUAUGCUAUUCUCGUAGAGUCUUUUGAUUCAUGACCCCCAGGUCUGUGGGAGGUUGCUAUGUACUGGUUAUUGGGAUGUUUCUAUAUCUAAUUGCUAAUACUUCGGAUUUUCUCUUCGUUGUUAAUGAUUUGUGAAUUAAGAAUGUGAGCUUAUAGCUCAUAACAUGAGAGUAAUUGGUUGGGCUUGACUAGCAAUGAGCUGGGUGACAUCACGACCUGGUUGGGGUCGUUACAAGUAGGUGGUCUUAAAAUGGUGAAUUUCAGUUUUAUUUAGAAGCAAUUGUACUAGGUACUCUAAGUAUUUAAGUUAGAGUUAACUUGAAGUUGUCGUAACAAUUAGAGACUAGUUGCCACGACGUGAUUAGAGUUAUUCCUUAGAGUUGCAAAGAUUUUUGUAAAUG